rnacentral:rRNA from 1 species
UACGAAGGGGGCUAGCGUUGCUCGGAAUCACUGGGCGUAAAGGGCGCGUAGGCGGCCUGUUAAGUCGAACGUGAAAUCCCCGGGCUCAACCCGGGAACUGCGUCCGAUACUGGCAGGCUUGAAUCCGGGAGAGGGAUGCGGAAUUCCAGGUGUAGCGGUGAAAUGCGUAGAUAUCUGGAGGAACACCGGUGGCGAAGGCGGCAUCCUGGACCGGUAUUGACGCUGAGGCGCGAAAGCCAGGGGAGCAAACGGG